GGGUGCUCUGGUGAUGUUGUAAAAGGAAAAUGUCAUGUAAAAAAUAUCCUUAAUCCUGCUUUCAAAAUCCUGCAUCUAACAGCCCAUUACAAGAGUUGUACAGCAAACGAUGUCAUAAGUGAUCUGGUUGCUCACUGUUCCUCUGUGGGUAUCAACCUUGUGGUAGAAGACAAGGUAAAAUGGGAGAAUGGAGUCAAGAACUGUAAAGGUGAUGAAGUUGCUGAGAUCAUAGAAGACGAAGAUGCAGUUAACAUUUGUGGAGGAACAAUUAAUUAUGAGGUAAAGUGUUUUUCAUAUACUUAUUUAUAUAUAUAUAUAAAAAAAAAUUCUCUGUUAUCUCAGGGAGGAGAUUUUCAUAAUUUGCCUUAAAUGUGUUGCUCCACUUAGAAGAAACA